rnacentral:rRNA from 1 species
CGAACGAGAGGAAGGAAAGCUUGCUUUUCUGAAUCUAGUGGCGAACGGGUGAGUAACACGUAGGUAACCUGCCCAUGUGCCCGGGAUAACUUCUGGAAACGGAUGCUAAAACCGGAUAGGUAGCAGACAAGCAUUUGACUGCUAUUAAAGUGGCUAAGGCCAUGAACAUGGAUGGACCUGCGGUGCAUUAGCUAGUUGGUGAGGUAACGGCCCACCAAGGCGACGAUGCAUAGCCGGCCUGAGAGGGCGGACGGCCACAUUGGGACUGAGACACGGCCCAAACUCCUACGGGAGGCAGCAGUAGGGAAUUUUCGUCAAUGGGGGGAACCCUGAACGAGCAAUGCCGCGUGAGUGAGGAAGGUCUUCGGAUCGUAAAGCUCUGUUGUAAGAGAAAAACGACAUUCAUAGGGAAUGAUGAGUGAGUGAUGGUAUCUUACCAGAAAGUCACGGCUAACUACGUGCCAGCAGCCGCGGUAAUACGUAGGUGGCGAGCGUUAUCCGGAAUGAUUGGGCGUAAAGGGUGCGUAGGUGGCAGAACAAGUCUGGAGUAAAAGGUAUGGGCUCAACCCGUACUGGCUCUGGAAACUGUUCAGCUAGAGAACAGAAGAGGACGGCGGAACUCCAUGUGUAGCGGUAAAAUGCGUAGAUAUAUGGAAGAACACCGGUGGCGAAGGCGGCCGUCUGGUCUGUUGCUGACACUGAAGCACGAAAGCGUGGGGAGCAAAUAGGAUUAGAUACCCUAGUAGUCCACGCCGUAAACGAUGAGAACUAGGUGUUGGGGGAAUAACUCAGUGCCGCAGUUAACGCAAUAAGUUCUCCGCCUGGGGAGUAUGCACGCAAGUGUGAAACUCAAAGGAAUUGACGGGGGCCCGCACAAGCGGUGGAG